rnacentral:rRNA from 1 species
GAUGAACGCUGGCGGCGUGCUUAACACAUGCAAGUCGAACGAUGAAGCCCAGCUUGCUGGGUGGAUUAGUGGCGAACGGGUGAGUAACACGUGAGUAACCUGCCCUUGACUCUAGGAUAAGCCCGGGAAACUGGGUCUAAUACUGGAUAGGAACGUCUACCGCAUGGUGGGUGUUGGAAAGAAUUUCGGUCAUGGAUGGACUCGCGGCCUAUCAGCUUGUUGGUGAGGUAAUGGCUCACCAAGGCGACGACGGGUAGCCGGCCUGAGAGGGUGACCGGCCACACUGGGACUGAGACACGGCCCAGACUCCUACGGGAGGCAGCAGUGGGGAAUAUUGCACAAUGGGCGAAAGCCUGAUGCAGCGACGCCGCGUGAGGGAUGACGGCCUUCGGGCUGUAAACCUCUUUCAGUAGGGAAGAAGCGAAAGUGACGGUACCUGCAGAAGAAGCACCGGCUAACUACGUG